GGUAUGUACUAGCCUGCCGAUUCCUCCUUCUUGUAGAACCGUAAUGCCAUUAAUUUGGUGUUGCGGGGAAACAGGACUGUUACUUUGAAAAAAUUAGAGUGUUUAAAGCAGGCUAGCGCCUGGAUACAUUAGCAUGGAAUAAUGAAAUAGGACGUUCGAACCUAUUUUGUUGGUUUCUAGGAUUGACGUAAUGAUUAAUAGGGAUAGUUGGGGGCAUUAGUAUUCAAUUGUCAGAGGUGAAAUUCUUGGAUUUAUUGAAGACUGACUACUGCGAAAGCAUUUGCCAAGGAUGUUUUCAUUAAUCAAGAACGAAAGUUAGGGGAUCGAAGACGAUCAGAUACCGUCGUAGUCUUAACCAUAAACUAUGCCGACUAGGGAUCGGAUGAUGUUAAUUUUUUAAUGACUCAUUCGGCGCCUUACG
rnacentral:rRNA from 1 species